rnacentral:rRNA from 1 species
GCAAAUCUCUUAAAGCCGUUCUCAGUUCGGAUUGUAGGCUGCAACUCACCUACAUGAAGUCGGAAUCGCUAGUAAUCGCGGAUCAGCAUGCCGCGGUGAAUACGUUCCCGGGCCUUGUACACACCGCCCGUCACACCAUGAGAGUUUGUAACACCCAAAGCCGGUGGGGUAACCUUUUGGAGCCAGCCGUCUAAGGUGGGACAGAUGAUUAGGGUGAAGUCGUAACAAGGUACC